UUAUAUCAUGUAAAAAAAAGAGUAAAACAUCUUCCUAGUGCAGAAGUUAAUUAAGAUCGAAACAACGAAGAAUCCGAUUAUUCCAACUUCCACAUCUGAAAUCGAAGUGUUGAAUAUUAUUUGCUUUCAGAAACAAUCUAAUGGAACGAUGAGGUGUUAUUGGAUGAAUGGAUGCGCUCAUCUUCGUUGUUUCAAACACGUUGGUUUGACUGGAUAUUCCAUCAGGGUUUCUCUCCGUGCAGCCAUUAAAUUUUCUUCUUUGUGUAUUUGGGAUGUCUCACCGUAAGUUUGAGCACCCAAGACAUGGUUCGUUGGGAUUUCUUCCUGGGAAAAGGGCUGCACGCCACAGAGGAAAAGUGAAGUCCUUCCCCAAGGAUGAUUCAUCAAAGCCAUGUAGAUUGACUGCAUUUCUAGGAUACAAGGCUGGGAUGACUCACAUUGUUUGAGAGGUGGAUCCAUCAGGUUCAUAAUUUUCAUGGAAAACAUCAGCAAUGGGUGAAAAUGUCUCUAAUACUAAGACAUUUCUUGAGAAGAGGUACACACUGAUGAUAUGGAGCUUGAAGAUGAUAUUCACACAACUAUUUUGACUCUGAAAGAAGGGUAUUUUUAUUUUACCUAUUUUUGUAUAUUUAGUCUAGGCAAGCAACUUGCAUUUACUUAGAGAGCGCACCUGAUUUUUCACAUGUUUACGUUAUGCCCCCAUCUGUAUGCUUUAAGUAUCUUGUGUCUGGUUCUGCAUCUAGAAAAGUGUAUGGUGGGGAACAUGAGUUCAGCUGAAGCUGCUCUAGAUUGUGACACUAGGGAAAGUGUUUUCUUAUUAGCUAACUAGGGCUUGUGUAUUGUUCUGAACUCAG